rnacentral:lncRNA from 1 species
CGAUCUCGUAACUCAAGCACUGAGCUUAUCAGGUACAUCAGAUCUGAUAUCAAGCAUCAUCUUCAGCUACGGCUCUGCUCUGAGAGGAUGAUGGGUUUUGGUGACAUGUUUUACAUAACUGAUAAGAAAUACAGUGAUUAUAAAAAGAGAGAGAGAGAGACAGCAAAUCAAAGACACUUGCUCCAGAACUUAAAGAGCGACAGCCAAAGCUUCAUAAUGUCUGCGGAGAAGAUGCGCUGGAUGGGUUUGACCCUGGGGCUGGUCCUGCUGAUUGCAGUCUCCUCAGAUGCAGCACCUUUAGCUAUACAACAGCCUGAUGAGUGCUGCUUCUUCUUCGUCAGUUUUACAAUCCCCAGUCAUGCCGUCGAAGGAAUAAAAAGACUACCGAUCCACUGCCCCAAACCAGGCUACAUGUGAGUAUCCUCCUUUAGAGAAUAUAUACAGUAGAUAUGUGACUGACUCUUUUAUUAAAUGUAUGAAUACAUUUGUUUUGUAUAUUAAAUCUGAUUUGCUGCUGAUUAUCAGGAGAUGGGACUCCUGACUGAAAGAAAAGUGAGAUAACUGUAAUAACUGUGUCUUUCAGAGUUACAACUCCUAAAGGAAGGAUGUGUCA